rnacentral:rRNA from 1 species
AUUAGAGUUUGAUCAUGGCUCAGAAUCAACGCUGGCGGCGUGCCUCAGACAUGCAAGUCGAACGCGAAUCUCCCUUCGGGGAGAGAGUAGAGUGGCGCACGGGUGAGUAACACGUAGGUAAUUUGCCUUCGGGUGGGGAAUAACAGCCGGAAACGGCUGCUAAUACCGCAUAAUGCAGCGGCUCGACAUCGAGACAGUUGUUAAAGCGGGGGAUCGCAAGACCUCGCGCCUGAAGAGAAGCCUGCGGCGGAUUAGCUAGUUGGUAGGGUAAUGGCCUACCAAGGCGACGAUCCGUAACCGGCCUGAGAGGGCGGUCGGUCACACUGACACUGACAUACGGGUCAGACUCCUACGGGAGGCAGCAGUCGGGAAUUUUGGGCAAUGGGCGAAAGCCUGACCCAGCAACCCGCGUGAAGGAUGAAUCCCUCGGGAUGUAACUUCGCAAGAAUGGGAAGAAUAAGU